CAGUAGCCGCGGGAACACGGAGGGGGCUAGCGUUGUUCGGAAUUACCGGGCGUAAAGCGCACGUAGGCGGCUUGGUAAGUUAGAGGUGAAAGCCUGGAGCUCAACUCCAGAAUUGCCUUUAAGACUGCCGAGCUAGCAGGUGAGAGAGGUAAGUGGAAUUCCGAGUGUAGAGGUGAAAUUCGUAGAUAUUCGGAAGAACACCAGUGGCGAAGGCGGCUUACUGGCUCAUACUGGACGCUGAGGUGCGAAAGCGUGGGGAGCAAACAGGAUUAGAUACCCGGGUAGUCCCUGUCUCUUAUAC
rnacentral:rRNA from 1 species